GGUUGUAUAGUGUAGCGGUUAUCACUCCGGAUUCUGAUUCAAUUUGGAUAUUCCGGCAACCCCGGUUCGAUUUCGGGUACGACCU